rnacentral:rRNA from 1 species
GACGAACGCUGGCGGCGUGCUUAACACAUGCAAGUCGAACGAAGAGCGAUGGAAGCUUUCUUCUAUCAAUCUUAGUGUCGCGCGGGUGAGUAACGCGUAAUCAACCUGCCCUUCAGAGGGGGACAACAGUUGGAAACGACUGCUCAUACCGCAUACGAUCUAAUCUCGGCAUCGAGGAUAGAUUAAAGGUGGCCUCUACAUGUAAGCUAUCACUGCAGUUGGGGAUUGCGUCUGAUUAGCUAGUUGGAGGGGUAAAGGCCCACCAAGGGGAUGGUAAGUGGCCGGUCUGAGAGGAUGAACGGCCAAAUUGGGAAUGAGACACGGCCCAGACUCCUAAGGGAAGCAGCAGGGGGGAAUUUUUCGCAAUGGAGGAAAGGCUGAAGGAGGAACGCCGGGGGAGGGAUGACGGGCGUCGGGUUGGAAAGAUCGGUUAAUCGGGAAGAAAGGGCUUCUGGCGAAUAGUGAGAAGGAUUGACGGUACCGGAAGAGAAAGCCACGGCUAACUACGUG